rnacentral:rRNA from 1 species
CUCGGAUUCCCCUAGUAACGGCGAGUGAAGCGGGAAGAGCUCAUGUUGUAAAUCUGGAUGAGGGUUCCUCGUCCCGAAUUGUAGUCUAGAGAUGCGUGCUCAGCUACUCUCCAGGGCUAAGUCUGUUUGUGAAAGACAGUGUCAUGGACGGUGAUAACCCGGUUCUUGCCUUGGAUGUUGUAGCGUUUUGAGCCGUCCUCAACGAGUCGAGUUGCUUGGGAUUGCAGCUCUAAGUGGGUGGUAAAUUCCAUCUAAAGCUAAAUAUUGGUGGGAGACCGAUAGCGAACAAGUACCGUGAGGGAAAGAUGAAAAGAACUUUGAAAAGAGAGUUAAAUAGUACCUGAAACUGCUGAAAGGGAAGCGAAUGAAGUCAGUGUUGCUCUUUGUGCUCUGCAUCCUCCCUGCGGGGAUUGUGUAUCGAGGACUUUGAGCUUGUCAGGAUGAGUUCUCUGCCGCGGGAUAUGUUUUGUAUGCUGGAUGCUUUUUGCGGAACAUACAUUCUCUGUCGUGGCUUGGACUGAGGUUCCAUCUUGCCGUUGCCUGUGCGUUCCUCUCCCGUUGCUGUCUCUGUUCUACUGCUUGCAGUGCUCAGUUGCAGUAGUUGGACUGUGCGUAUUAUGCAUGCAAGGUCAGGAUCCUGACG